GCUCAGGAUGAACGCUAGCUACAGGCUUAACACAUGCAAGUCGAGGGGCAGCAUGGACUCAGCUUUGCUGAGUUUGAUGGCGACCGGCGCACGGGUGAGUAACGCGUAUCCAACCUGCCCUUUACUCCGGGAUAGUCUCCUGAAAGGGAGUUUAAUACCGGAUGUGUUUGUUUUUCCGCAUGGGAGCGACAAAUAAAGAUUAAUUGGUAAAGGAUGGGGAUGCGUCCCAUUAGCUUGUUGGCGGGGUAACGGCCCACCAAGGCAACGAUGGGUAGGGGUUCUGAGAGGAAGGUCCCCCACAUUGGAACUGAGACACGGUCCAAACUCCUACGGGAGGCAGCAGUGAGGAAUAUUGGUCAAUGGGCGAGAGCCUGAACCAGCCAAGUAGCGUGAAGGACGACGGCCCUACGGGUUGUAAACUUCUUUUAUAAGGGAAUAAAGUUCGCCACGUGUGGUGUUUUGUAUGUACCUUAUGAAUAAGCAUCGGCUAAUUCCGUGCCAGCAGCCGCGGUAAUACGGAAGAUGCGAGCGUUAUCCGGAUUUAUUGGGUUUAAAGGGAGCGUAGGCGGGCUUUUAAGUCAGCGGUCAAAUGCCACGGCUCAACCGUGGCCAGCCGUUGAAACUGUAAGCCUUGAGUCUGCACAGGGCACAUGGAAUUCGUGGUGUAGCGGUGAAAUGCUUAGAUAUCACGAAGAACUCCGAUCGCGAAGGCAUUGUGCCGGGGCAGCACUGACGCUGAGGCUCGAAAGUGCGGGUAUCAAACAGGAUUAGAUACCCUGGUAGUCCGCACGGUAAACGAUGAAUGCUCGCUAUGGGCGAUACAAUGUCCGUGGCCAAGCGAAAGCGUUAAGCAUUCCACCUGGGGAGUACGCCGGCAACGGUGAAACUCAAAGGAAUUGACGGGGGC
rnacentral:rRNA from 1 species